AAAAGAAAACCCGUUAAGUCAAAACUUGAAAACAAGUGGCUUAGGGGGAAAAAUUAGGGCAUCCCGAUAGACUGUAAGCAAAAAUCAAUCCAGGAAAAAUUUAGGGAAGUUAAAAGCAAAAAAUAAAGAGAGGAAUCGAAAACAAAAAUCCUCAGCAAGAACAAAGUUGUGUGACUGCAAAUAAAAAACAGAAAGGCAAGUUCUUUAACUCCUGAAACGUCGUGGGUUCCUUU
rnacentral:lncRNA from 1 species